AUACGGAGGGGGUUAGCGUUGUUCGGAAUUACUGGGCGUAAAGCGUACGUAGGCGGACUAGUAAGUGAGGGGUGAAAUCCCAGGGCUCAACCCUGGAACUGCCUUUCAUACUGCUAGUCUUGAGGUCGAGAGAGGUGAGUGGAAUUCCGAGUGUAGAGGUGAAAUUCGCAGAUAUUCGGAGGAACACCAGUGGCGAAGGCGGCUCACUGGCUCGAUUCUGACGCUGAGGUACGAAAGUGUGGGGAGCAAACAGGAUUAGAAACCCCAGUAGUCC
rnacentral:rRNA from 1 species